rnacentral:rRNA from 1 species
ACGGUAACAGGUCUUCGGAUGCUGACGAGUGGCGGACGGGUGAGUAAUGCGUAGGAAUCUGUCUUUGAUUGGGGGACAACCCAGGGAAACUUGGGCUAAUACCGCAUAAGCCCUGAGGGGGAAAGCGGGGGAUCUUCGGACCUCGCGCUGGAAGAGGAGCCUACGUCUGAUUAGCUAGUUGGUAGGGUAAAGGCCUACCAAGGCGACGAUCGGUAGCUGGUCUGAGAGGACGACCAGCCACACUGGGACUGAGACACGGCCCAGACUCCUACGAGAGGCAGCAGUGGGGAAUUUUUCGCAAUGGGGGCAACCCUGACGAAGCAAUGCCGCGUGAAUGAAGAAGGCCUUCGGGUUGUAAAGUUCUUUCGUGGAGGACGAAAAGGUGGGUGCUAAUACCGCCUGCUGUUGACGUGAAUCCAAGAAGAAGCACCGGCUAACUCCGUGCUUGCGGCCGCGGUAUUACGGGGGGUGCAAGCGUUAAUCGGAAUCACUGGGCGUAAAGGGUGCGUAAGCGGUGUAUUAGUCUGUCGUGAAAUCCCCCGGGCUCAACCUGGUAUUGUCGGUGGAAACCAUGUGUACUUAAGUAUGCGAUAGG